UACGAAGGGGGCUAGCGUUAUUCGGAAUUACUGGGCGUAAAGCGUACGUAGGCGGCUUUGUAAGUAAGAGGUGAAAGCCCGGAGCUCAACUCCGGAACUGCCUUUUAGACUGCAUCGCUUGAAUCCAGGAGAGGUGAGUGGAAUUCCGAGUGUAGAGGUGAAAUUCGUAGAUAUUCGGAAGAACACCAGUGGCGAAGGCGGCUCACUGGACUGGUAUUGACGCUGAGGUACGAAAGCGUGGGGAGCAAACAGG
rnacentral:rRNA from 1 species